AGAAGACAGCUCUGGGCGUGUUUCCAUGUGAGUGCCUCUUCAGAGACUGUAACAGGGGCCGCACCGGCUUUGCCAUUGGAGCCCGCGGCUGGCGGGGCCCCGCAGCGUCUCCCGGGGCCGCCCCCGCGCAGCGAGUCCAGCGGGCACACGCGGAAACACAGCUGUACAGAACCACGGCUGGGCGAGCAUACGCACACCACACGCACACAGCUACUACACCCAGACCUUUCACGACCCGGGUUGGUCUCCCAGCACCUUGAUCUUACAGAACCGACAUUCCACACUACUCCCUGGAUACCAGGAAAAGCCUAAGAGAAUCAGACACAGGACACACACCACAUAUAUAUGUGUGCCAUAAGUCACAACACUCAAAUGACACUGCCCUCAGCAUAGACUCCCGCGAAACCACGUGCAAGGCAUACACAAGUCAGCAACAUAGAGCCCCGACACAGUGACCACAAGACCCACUCGAGUAUGCCAGUCACGCACUGUAGAGUUAACAGUGUAAAAGAGAUAGUCACACAGACCAUGUGCACAAACACGGCAAAUACGUAAAGGGCAAGCUUAAGACAGAUCUUGUGGAUAGGGCUCCAAUCAGAUAAGAUCUCCCUCCAGGAGAAAAAAACAGAGUGUCCUCGACCAGACGCACUCUUGGCGCCAGAGCUUGAGAUAGUGUCGGUCAACACCCCCUACCUGCAUCCCUGCUUUCAAUCUGGACUGCCCACUGCACCUGCUCGAAUGGCUCCCUGCAGACACACCCUGCUGGGAUGAGUGCAUUCCUGGUGUGCUCUUUCCUCCUAGAGCCUUCCCUGUUCAUUUUUCAGGGUUCACAUUGGCCCUCUGCUCCCUGGGGUGUGGGCAGUCUGGCCUGCAGCUCCUGUCUGCCCCCUCAGCUUGAGAUACAGGAGUCCUCUUCCACAUGCCCACACUCCCCUGGGUCUUACUGCUCCUCCUGAGGAUUUGACCCACAGCAGAAUCUGGCUGAGCCUGGAAAGGAAGUUGGUAGCAGCCCCACCGGACAGGCUCUUCCAGCCCAGGAAGGCAUAGCUGCACACCACUUUCUGCAGAGAUAACCCCUCUCUGUGCAGGAAGCUCUGUCAUGAGCCUCUAGGCUGGCCAGAGGCACCUUUAGGAUUCCAGGGACAGAGACAACAGAGCAAGCCUGGCUCUGUAACUCACAGCCUGGCGCCACCUAUUCCUGGAUGUGAGACUGAGUGUGUCACUUUAGUUGUCCAGCUGUUGGGAAGGUUAGAGGCACUGUAUGCAAAGUCCCUGUCACCCCAUGGGUGGGCAGAAGGCAAAUAUCGUGCUCUGUCUAGUCUGUAUUCAUCCACUGUUCUCUUGUGUAGGGCUACAACUGGCUUUGGGCACAAAGGCAAGUAAGAGAAAUGGGGCCUGCAAUCUGGUGAGGCAGCCAGUACAGGGGUAACACUUUUAUGUAAAAAAGAUCUUUAGCAUGGAAUUAGGGAAUUGUUGCUGUGAGGUCAGUUCUGCCUCUGAGCAGGGGGAUUGUGGGUAAGCUAGCCCCCAAGGUUUAUUUAUAUACCCCGUUCUAUCUGUUCCAAAGCGGGGGCAACAUUUCUCUGCCUCACAGGACCAUCGCCUAGAUAGAGGUUAACAUAGGCUCAAGAAGGAGCAGGUGCUUUGGUAAACUCCAAAGCAGUGUAUGAAAUGAGAAGGCGUUGACAGACUAAAGACAGGAGACUUGUAAUGUCACAAGAAAGGUUGUAUGUCAUUCGCAGUGGUUUACAGGCUAAGGUCCAUGGAGAAACUGGCAUUUGGACAGGAUACAGAAACAGAGAGGCCCGUAUUUCAGGAGGAGGGAAUUUCAAGAGGGACUGA
ensembl:processed_transcript Gm13448 predicted gene 13448